GAGACUGGGUGCUUCGGCGCCCGACCUCCAACCCUUUGUCUACCUUACCACUGUUGCCUCGGUGUGGUUUGUGGUUUCCCUAGCCCUACACGUUAGCGUUAACCCGCCCACCGAUGGCCUACAACCAAAACUCUUGUUUUAAACACCGUUUAUCUGAGAAUAAAAAUAAUAACUUCAAAACUAUUAACAACGGAUCUCUUGGUUCU
rnacentral:misc_RNA from 1 species